AGGAGUUAGAGGACCAGUGAGAGCCUAGCAGGAGUCCGAGGGCCAACGGGAGCCCAGUGGCAGUUAGGGAGCCUAUGGGAGCUCAGUGAAAGAGAGCCAAUGGGAGGCCCCAGGAGGAGUCAGAAAGAAGGCGAGAAAGAGUUCAGGGUAUUUUUUCCCUUGGCUGCUCCCUGGCUUGGUUAGAGCCCGUGUGAAGCGGCUGCUCCUCCCAAUUCCAGUAGCACUGCCCCUCCCCUUGUCCUCCAGAGCAGUUGAUGCUCGUGACUCCAACCAUUGCUAGCCCCUGGAGCUGCAGUAGCCCUGGUUAGUUCCAUUGCCUCUGCCUAAAGUACUUCACCUAAAUCGGACUUCAGCUCUGAAGAUGCCAUCUGUUUCUUGCCAGGACGUUAAUACUGUAGAUAUAAGUUUUUCAGGCCCUGCUUUCUCGGCCCUGCUCUGGAGUAACUGGGAAGAUCUUCAGUGAUCAACAGCCCAGAGAAUCCACUGCAGCAGCACAGAGCAUGAGGUCCCCUCAGCCCCACAGCCAGCCCAGGUGUCUGGGGGAGGAUGCUGGGCUGCUCACGUAUGGAGAGGAUCUAAACUCUGGACAGCUCCCUCAAGUAACCUCCUGGCUGCUUUCACAGCCUCUGGUCUGCUCCUCCCAAUUGGCCCUCAGGACUGCUACUAUCUCACUUCUCAUUUAAAAACCAUCCAUGGCUCCCGACUGCUGACAGGGCCCCCAGCACUGGACCAAGGCCUCCUUCCACCUUCUCCAUCCUGCUCCUCAGUCCCCAGGCCUGCUGAGGGCCACAAGUAGACCGAGGCCACCAGGUAGAAUGGGGCUACUUUGAGCUCAAGGUCUCCCACCACCAGAGGGCGUCACUUCCACCCUGAGCUCCUGACUCUGAGCCAAUUACGCAGGACGUGAGUUCUCAACGCUGGCGACACACUGAAGCCACCUGGAGAGCUUGGACAGGCUCCAACACCAGGGUCGUCCAGCGUGAUUGCUCUGGGGAUGGCCUGGGCAUCAGGAUUUUCAAAGCUCCCCAGAUGCUCCAUCCAUACAAGGGAUUACCACUCAGCAGUAGAAAGAAACAAACCACCGCCACAUGCCACAGCAUGAUGUGCCUCAAACACUGCGCUAAGUGAAAGAAGCCAGACGCAAAAGACUGCGUGUUCUUUAAUUCCAUUUAUAUGAAAUUUCCAGAAAAGGGGAGGAAUCGAAGCUCAGAGAAGCAAGGUAACGUCUCCAAGGUCACACAGCCAAUGUAUGAAGUGGUCUCUCCUUCCCAUGGAAGAGACAGGCGGCAAGAACCUCAGAAGAUGACAGCAGCAAGCAGUAAGGCAGGCCGUGUCCACACAAGCCGAGCGUACCUCAGAGAACCUCUGAACGUCUUGCGUCAGCGUGCCCACGCGCUUCCACUGGUAGUGCUUGAGCAACUUCAGAAUGGCUGGAUUCACCGCAUUGUCUGAUGGGACGGUCCGAAAGAAAUAAGGGUAUUUUUUCUUAUCGGCUAGAACAGGCGUGGUUGCAGCAAAAGAAAGCUGAAAAACACAAAAGAGACAACGCUUUUUACUGAUAAGCCUCACAGCUGUGACCCAGCAUCUUUCUGGAAUAGAGACUGUUAGCUUCAACUUAGAGCAUAAACACACAGGGACAGAUAUUUUUAAAACUUUUUUAUUGUAAGAGUAACAUAUCAUAAUGGAAGGGAAGGUUUAAAAAUGCAAAAUAAGGAGGAAGAAGGGAAAAAAUAGCCAAUGAUCUACCCCUCCCUAAAGAACCAUCAUUCAUGUUAUCGUCUAUUCCUUCCCAGUCCUUUUUCUAUGCAGGGAUUGAAUUUUUUAAAAAAGAUCCUGAAAUCAUUCUACAUGCACAAUUGAAUUGUUUUUCCCCAUUUAACGGUAUCCUUAAAAACUCUUCGGCCGGGCGCGGUGGCUCACGCCUGUAAUCCCAGCACUUUGGGAGGCCGAGGCGGGCGGAUCACGAGGUCAGGAGAUCGAGACCAUCCUGGCUAACACGGUGAAACCCCGUCUCUACUAAAAAUACAAAAAAUUAGCCGGGCGUGGUAGCGGGCGCCUGUAGUCCCAGCUACUCGGGAGGCUGAGGCAGAAGAAUGGCGUGAACCCGGGAGGCGGAGCUUGCAGUGAGCCGAGAUCGCGCCACUGCACUCCAGCCUGGGCGACAGAGCGAGACUCCGUCUCAAAAAAAAAAACAAAAACAAACAAACAAAAAACUCUUCGUAAACCUUAUAAUAGCUGCACAAUAUUCCAGCAUAUGAAUAUACCAUAAUUUACUGAAUCGUUUCUAAUUUGGGGUUAUUUCGAUUAUUUCUAAUUUGUCAUUAUCAUCAUAUUAUUCUACAGGCAUCUUUGUACAUAGCAUUUUUUGUUUUAUAUUUUGGGAUGUUUCCAUAAGAUAGAGUCUGUGAUGUAAAAUUUUCCAGAUAAAGAAUAUGAGUCUUUAAAGAUUUAUACUUAUUUCCAAAAAACAUUUUAUCGGUUUGCAAAUUUACUAGCCAGGAAUGAUUAGAGGGCCAGUCUCACCACAUCUUUGCCAACACAGGGAGUAAAAAAUGUUAUUCUGUCUAAUUUUGUAAUGAUUUAUCACCAAAUAAAACCCUGAAUCAUAUCGCAUUCAUGGUUAUAGAU